rnacentral:rRNA from 1 species
CUACGGGGGGCUCCAGUGAGGAAUUUUGCGCAAUGGGGGGAACCCUGACGCAGCAACGCCGCGUGAGUGAUGAAGGCUUUCGGGUCGUAAAGCUCUGUCAAGUGGGAAGAACCUAUGCAGUGUUAAUAUCACUGUAUACUGACGGUACCACUGAAGGAAGCACCGGCUAACUCCGUGCCAGCAGCCGCGGUAAUACGGGGGGUGCAAGCGUUAUUCGGAAUCAUUGGGCGUAAAGGGCACGUAGGCGGCUUGGUAAGUCAGAUGUGAAAGCCCGGGGCUUAACCCCGGAAGUGCAUUUGGUACUGUCAGGCUUGAGUAUGGGAGAGGGAAGUGGAAUUCCUGGUGUAGAGGUGAAAUUCGUAGAUAUCAGGAGGAACACCGGUGGCGAAGGCGACUUCCUGGACCAAUACUGACGCUGAGGUGCGAAGGCGUGGGUAGCAAACAGGAUUAGAUACCCGUGUAGUC